rnacentral:tRNA from 1 species
AUUUAAAUAGCUUAUGUAGAGCAUAGUAUUGAAGCUACUAAGGAGAAUUUAAAUCUUUAAAUA